rnacentral:tRNA from 1 species
GGAGAGUUGCCGGAGUGGUCGAACGGGGCGGUCUCGAAAACCGUUGUGCGACUUGUCGUACCGAGGGUUCGAAUCCCUCACUCUCCGCCA